rnacentral:rRNA from 1 species
UACGGGGGGAGCAAGCGUUGUUCGGAUUUACUGGGCGUAAAGGGCGCGUAGGCGGUCGUGACAAGUCACUUGUGAAAUCUCCGGGCUUAACUCGGAACGGUCAAGUGAUACUGUCGGACUAGAGUACAGAAGGGGCAACUGGAAUUCUCGGUGUAGCGGUGAAAUGCGUAGAUAUCGAGAGGAACACCUGCGGCGAAGGCGGGUUGCUGGGCUGAUACUGACGCUGGAGGCGCGAAAGCGUGGGGAGCAAACAGG